GCUGAACAGUGAAAUGCCCAGUAACUGCACGGUGAUUGUCUGAAAGACCAUUCUCAUAGCUACUGUGAAACAUUUAUUAAGGAGUAGUUCAGUGUGAGUUUUUAUCUCAUCGUAGCAAUACCUCCAAGAGCCAGCUCAGGUUCACAUUCGGCAGUGCGAUUGGAAAUUUAUCCAUGAGGUCUGAUUGCCAAGUCAAACUGAACGUGUUCCUGAAAUCUUUGUCUCAUGAAUUCUCACCUCUGACAAUCUACACUCCCUCCCGUGGCAGCUAAACCAUCCAAAUUCAAGGCAAACUUCUACCUAAGAAUAGGAAACAGUUCAACAAACUAUUCAAACAGUGGAAAUAUCACUGUCAGAGCAAGCCCAAAUGCAGCUCCUCUUCAGGCAAGCCCAGUCAAACAAACUGUUGACAAGACUGUAUCAUUAUUGACAUAAAUGUAGGCAAAGAAAAUCUAGCUUACUGACCCAGGUAAAUUAAUAUGAAUGCUGGAGAAUGUUGAAAAAGACAAGGAAUAUUUCCUUCAUGGAAGGACCAGAGAAGGUUGUGCAGGGACUUUCAGUUACCAGUGGGGUGACAAGCAACUGCUGGUACUCUUCUACAAAACCAUCCACCUACUGUGAUUCAGACCCUCCAGUGCGUGUUUUGGGUAUUCAGGAUAACAAAAUAACACUGGAUGAGAGCCUGUAUAAAACAAAACCCCAGGGGAUGGCAUGCUCACGCAUUACGUGCAAGAAAACAAUCACAGAAAUAGAGCAUCUGCAGAUCCUGAAGGGUAACAAUCACCAAGUCACUGCUAUGUUAGAGCAUACUACUUCAUCAAAAAUUAGAAGAGAAGCCACAAAUAAGCACUAUUGUUAUUUUUGUGUAGAGUCAUUUAAAACAUUCUAACAGUCAGUGCACUGUCUCAUUAAUUCAGACUCUCAAUAAACGGCAGCAUGGUGGCUCAGUGGUUAGCACUGCUGGCUCACAGUGCAAGGGGCCGGUCAAUUCCAGCCUUGGGUGACUGUCUGUGUGGAGUUUGCACAUUCUCCCCGUGUCUGCGUGGGUUUCCUCCGGGUGCUCUGGU